GGGGACGUAGAAAGAGAAAAGGCGCAACCAUUGGCUGAUUGAGUAGCCUCGCAUCCGUCCAGCCUACGCACCUCUGGUGUACGAGUUAUUGUGCCCACGGUAAAUGCUGGUAGCCAAGUGCAGAGCGGAUAACUGCUGAAAGCAUCUAAGUAGUAAGCGCACCCCAAGAU
rnacentral:ncRNA from 1 species